UCGCCUGUUUAUCAAAAACAUCGCCUCUUGCAAAUCAAAACAUAAGAGGUCCCGCCUGCCCUGUGACUAUGGGUUUAACGGCCGCGGUAUUUUGACCGUGCGAAGGUAGCGCAAUCACUUGUCUUUUAAAUGAAGACCUGUAUGAAUGGCAUCACGAGGGCUUAGCUGUCUCCUCUUCCAAGUCAAUGAAAUUGAUCUGCCCGUGCAGAAGCGGACAUAAGCACAUAAGACGAGAAGACCCUAUGGAGCUUUAGACACCAGGCAGAUCACGUCAAGCAACCUUGAAUUAACAAGUAAAAACGCAGUGACCCCUAGCCCAUAUGUCUUUGGUUGGGGCGACCGCGGGGGAAAAUUAAGCCCCCAUGUGGACUGGGGGCACUGCCCCCACAGCCGAGAGCUACAGCUCUAAGCACCAGAAUAUCUGACCAAAUAUGAUCCGGCGAACGCCGAUCAACGGACCGAGUUACCCUAGGGAUAACAGCGCAAUCCUCUCCCAGAGUCCCUAUCGACGAGGGGGUUUACGACCUCGAUGUUGGAUCAGGACAUCCUAAUGGUGCAGCCGCUAUUAAGGGUUCGUUUGUUCAACGAUUAAAGUCCUACGUGAUCUGAGUUCAGACCGGA
rnacentral:rRNA from 1 species